CAGCCGCCGCGGGAAUACGUAGGGUGCAAGCGUUAUCCGGAAUUAUUGGGCGUAAAGAGCUCGUAGGCGGUUUGUCGCGUCUGCUGUGAAAACUGGAGGCUCAACCUCCAGCCUGCAGUGGGUACGGGCAGACUAGAGUGCGGUAGGGGAGAUUGGAAUUCCUGGUGUAGCGGUGGAAUGCGCAGAUAUCAGGAGGAACACCGAUGGCGAAGGCAGAUCUCUGGGCCGUAACUGACGCUGAGGAGCGAAAGCGUGGGGAGCGAACAGGAUUAGAUACCCGUGUAGUCCCUGUCUCUUAUAC
rnacentral:rRNA from 1 species